rnacentral:rRNA from 1 species
UACGGAGGGUGCAAGCGUUAAUCGGAAUUACUGGGCGUAAAGCGUGCGCAGGCGGUUUGUUAAGUCUGCUGUGAAAUCCCCGAGCUCAACUUGGGAAUUGCAGUGGAUACUGGCAAGCUGGAGUACGGUAGAGGAAGGUGGAAUUCCCGGUGUAGCAGUGAAAUGCGUAGAGAUCGGGAGGAACACCAGUGGCGAAGGCGGCCUUCUGGACCAGUACUGACGCUCAUGCACGAAAGCGUGGGGAGCAAACGGG